AUUGAACGCUAGCGGCAGGCCUAACAAAUGCAAGUCGAACGGGUGGCGGACGGGCGAGUAAUGUCCGGGAAACUGAAUGAUGGAGGGGGACAACAACUGGAAACGUUAGCUAAUAACGCAUAAAACCAGAUGUGCACAGAUGGGAUUCGGUAGUUGGUGGGGUAACGGCUCACCAAGGCGACGAGCCCGAGCUGGUCUGAGAGGAUGACGAGCGACACGGGAACUGAGACACGGUCCAGACUCCUACGGUAGGCAGCAGUAGGGAAUAUUGCACACUUGGCGAAACCCAGAUGCAGUCAUGCCGCGUGCAUGAAGAAGGCCUUCGAGUUGUAAAGUACUGUCAGCAGUGAGGCGUUAGCCGCAGAAGAAGCACCGGCUAACUCCGUGCCAGCAGCCGCGGUAAUAC
rnacentral:rRNA from 1 species